rnacentral:rRNA from 1 species
GUGUGUGAUCAUACCAGCGCUAAUGCACCGGAUCCCAUCAGAACUCUGAAGCUAAACGUGCUUGUGCGAGAGCAGUACUAAGAUGGGUGACCUCACAUAGAUAUUUGAGUAUCUGCGAGAU